rnacentral:lncRNA from 1 species
GGAGUUACACUGUUUGUGAUAUGGUACAUGACCUGGUCAAUCUUAGGCUCUGAAGCUCUCCCUGGUGGAAAUUUAUUUGGAUUGUUAAUUAUUUUUUAUAGUGCCAUUAUUGGGGGAAAAAAUUUACAACUCAUUAGAAUACCUUUAGUGCCGCCAUUUCCACCUCUUCUUGGGAUGUUACUGGCUGGUUUUACAAUUAGGAAUGUUCCAUUCAUCAAUGAACAUGUCCAUGUUCCUAACGCAUGGUCUUCAAUUUUAAGAAGCAUUGCCCUUAACAUUAUUCUAAUACGAGCUGGGCUUGGACUCGAUCCACAGGCUUGGAGGCAUUUGAAGGUGGUUUGUUUCAGAUUGGCUGUAGGUCCAUGCCUUAUGGAGGCAAGUGCAGCUGCUGUUUUUUCCCACUUCAUUAUGAAAUUUCCCUGGCAAUGGGCAAUUCUAUUAGGUUUUGUUUUAGGUGCUGUCUCUCCUGUUGUUGUUGUCCUUUACAUGAUGGUGUUGCAAGAAAAUGGAUAUGGUGUUGAGGAAGACAUUCCAACCUACUAAUGGCUGCUAGCAGUAUGGAUGACAUUCUGGCUAUCACUGGAUUCAAUACAUGCUUGAGCAUAGUCUUCUUCUCGGGUGUAGCCUCCAUCUUUCACCCAGGCUGGAGUGUGGUGGCAUGAUCUCAGCUCACUGCAACCUCUGCCUCCCAGGUUCAAGUGAUUCUCCUCCCUCAGCCUCCUGAGUACCUGGGACUACAGUGGUAAGCUUAAUAACGCCAUAGCCUCUAUAAGGAACGUAUGUAUUAGUCGGCUGGCAGGAAUUGUUUUGGGAUUUUUUGUUUGAUAUUUUCCAAGUGAAGACCAAAAAAACUUACAUUGAAGAGAGGAUUCCUUGUUUUGACUACGUGUGUUUCUGCUGUCUUAGGCAGCCAACGUAUUGGUUUACAUGGAUCUGGAGGAUUAUGCACAUUAGUGUUGAGUUUCAUUGCAGGGACAAAAUGGUCCCAAGAAAAGAUGAAAGUCCAAAAGAUUAUUACAAAUGUAUGGGAUAUUUUUCAACCACUUCUUUUUGGUUUAGUUGGAGCAGAAGUAUCUGUUUCAUCGCUUGAAUCAAAUAUUGUUGCAUAUCUGUUGCCACUCUGAGUUUGGCAUUAUGUGUUCGAAUUUUAACCACAUAUCUAUUGAUGUGCUUUGCUGGUUUUAGUUUUAAGGAGAAAAUAUUUAUUGCUUUAGCAUGGAUGCCCAAAGCUACAGUACAGAUAUGGGGUCUCACCAUGUUGGCCAGGCUAGUCUCAAACUCCUGACCUCAAGUGAUCUGCCUGCCUCAGCCUCCCAAAGUGCUGGGAUUACAGGCAUGA